GAAGUUUAAAUAGAUUUUACUAUGUUUAGUUACGGACUAAAAAGAUUAGGCUUUU
rnacentral:tRNA from 1 species